UGCGCAGGCGGACCUAUUAGUCAGUGGUGAAAUCCCGGGGCUCAACUCCGGAACUGCCAUUGAUACUGUAGGUCUUGAGUUUGGUUGAAGUGGGCGGAAUGUAGCAUGUAGCGGUGAAAUGCAUAGAUAUGCUACAGAACACCGAUCGCGAAGGCAGCUCACUAAACCAAAACUGACGCUCAGGCACGAAAGCGUGGGUAGCGAACAGGAUUAGAUACCCUGGUAAUCC
rnacentral:rRNA from 1 species